GCAGUUCUUCUGUCGUGUUCAAGUUAUUAACUUUGCUUUACCUUUGCUUGGGAGGAUUUAUCUGCCCAUUGCUCACAGGCUGCUGGGAGAUGUCCAGCCUCUUCCUUCAUGGCAAGGUUGUGCUGAUUAGAAAACUUGCAACAAAUGGAAAAAUCUUGCACACAGUCUUUAUCUAAUCAACUUCAACAUGGCUCUUCCCUAACUUUGCAAAUUAAAUCUAAAUAUUAGUUCACUCUUUAGGUUUUCAGGUCACACUCAGCACCGUAGCCUGCUUUAUGCUGAACAUGAUUACCCCAAUAUAAUGUGAGAACAGAGGAGGGAAAAACAAGAGCAAGAAAGCAACAUCAGUGUUCAGUGUUGCUGCAGUUUCCCAUCCUCUGGGCAGGGAUGGGCUUAUUAACUGCAAAAUCCAGUCUGGAGCCCACUGGCAUUUCACAUGAGACAGAGCUGGAGAUGGCAGCACAGUGGGACAAUAUAUUUAUAAUUAGCAAAUAUUUUAAUGUGCACUGGCAUGUCCUUUAAUCAGCUGUUCUCCCAGCCUUUUCCCGUUUACUUUUCUGUGGAGAAGGUUUGCUCUUGUGAGAAGGUUUCUCUGAGCAGAUUUCUCUGUUGGCAGGAAGGUGAUGGAACAGCAGCUUCUGCCUGUGUUCAAACCUCAAGGACAUGGGCACUGGCAAACAUUGCACCUCCCAAGCCAGCCCUUACAAAGUGUCCAUACCCAGGCCAGCACGGGGGACAAGAUUCUGUGACUGAGACAACCCCAGCUUUGCAGCAACCAAGGAGCACAGAAUCUCUUGUGAGGAGGAUCAUCUGUGGAAGUUGGGAAGCAAAGUACACAGCCCAGCAAAGGAGCACGGGUGCGAAUUCAAUUAUGUUUCAAGCAAACACUGUAUUUCUAUGGCAGUAAAUCCCCUCAGAGUUAAAGCUGGAGUCACAGAUAGUUCUAUAUAUUUAUUUAUUUUCAGUGGAUAGAUCCCAGACCUUAAGGAAUGUGUUGCAAUGCAGACUCAGAAAUGCUAGCUGCCCAAAUCCCAAUGAAUCCUAGCUGCAGAAACCACUGUUUCUCCAGCAUCAUCUCACUUUUGGCAUCGAGCUCGUGUUUGAGACCUUUCAAAUGCUGCAGAAGAUGCUUCUUGCUCAAGAAAAAAAUAUCUCAUCUCUUGGGAGGGAACAGACUGGAAGUUGCAGCUCACAAACUGUGUUGCAUUUUAAAAACACCCUCCCCCGAGGCCUGGGGCAGACGCGGUGCAGGAGGGAGCUCCCAGUGCUGAGAGGACAAAGGCUGCUGGAGAGGAACGUGGGGUGGCUGGCCCAGCACUCGCCGUGUCCCGAGGAUGGCUUUGCCUUUUGCGAGCAGCCCGAGGAGAUUGGAGCAGCCCGACUGCUGCAAUCAGCCCUCCCGAGACCUCUGCUCCCCGGAGCUGAGCUGCAACCAGCAUCUGGCCCCACCGUGACCUUGGUCUACUGAAAUGACAUUGGACUAAAAGACUUUUUAAUUUUGUCUCUCUUUUUCCCCUCCCCUUUUCUUUAUUCGCUUUCCCUCCCUAUCCCCCUCCUAUUUUUUGUCGUGUAUUUCGGACUGCUGUGGAUUAGAGAGUCUCUCUUGUAAAGGAGAGGGGCUCAGAUGUUAUCAGUGUUAUCAGUUCGUCUGUAAGUGAUGCUUUACAGCCAGGCAGCCUGGAGCUGAGCAACUGUGCCAUCAUCAGGCUCGGAUCAGCAGCACAAAGUCGGGGAGACGUCGCAGGAGCUCUGAGCGGCCCGGAGAGGCACAGCGGCUCCUCGCUGCGGGCACCGUGCCACGGAGAUACUGUAAGAAUUUGUAGCUAUCACAGAAAGUUUCCCUGUGAGAAAUUUCCUACAGAGUCCUGGAAUUUUUUUUUUCUUUAAUCAAAACUGAGGAAAAAAAUAAAUCUGAAGGGAAAGGCUAUUAUUGCAGUUCAUGAGCUGACAUUUUAUCUGAAGGCAAGAGAGAUAAAGAAAAGCAUUAGAGAAAAAUCACCCAGGGAAGUUUGAGCUGGCCUUGGCAAACACUUCUAAAUAUUUACAGGAGACUUCUGCAGAUCAGCUACUGCUUAGAUCUACAGUCCUCCCAGUGCAGGAAUUAAAACACAGGUUGGAUAAUCAAGGUCACUGAACACAUAUCAUUUUAUUUCCUGGGCCAAGCAAGCUACCUAGGGAAAGAGAUAAAGCUGAACCAGAACUGUUCAUAAAGCAUGAACUGAACCUGCAGCAAUCUUUUAGAGCUUGAAAAGUUCUCUCCUCUGAGGAGAGAGGUGCCCUCACUUAAAAGUCCUGUUGUCUGUACUUCCCCUCCACCCCAAAAAUGUGUUGAAGAGGCAAAGCUGUCCUGUCCAGAAGCUCAGUUAAGACAUUGGGCUGACCAAGAAAUGUACCUAUAGCUGCACAGAGACUCAGCCCAGCACAUACAGUCUGAAGGAUUUAUGUAGUUAAAAAACAUGUAUGUAAAGAAACAUAAAAAUCAGCUAAUUGCAGGAAAGGUCAUGUUUUCUACAUAUUUAAUAGAUGGGCUCUUUCCUAGCUCAUGCCUAUGGAGAACCCAGUGUCCUGGGUAUGAUGCAGCUAUAAAACCUCACUGCCAUUCAAUCCCAGUGCCCCUCGUGCAUGCUCUGGUUUGUAGGAGUUAUCUGUGGCAAAGGCUUGGAGCACAGCACUCAGGGGCUGCUGCUGCUUUUAGGCAGUGCAGUGGCAGAGUGUUUUCCUCAUGCUGCUCAUUGAGCACUGCAGUGUUGGCACACAGAUCACAGGGAUGUUUAAAUCCUGCUAUUACAGAGACAGUCCAAGUGCCCAAAUAGCCAAGGGGGGCAAGGGACCCAACAAAAGCAGGCAAAUUACCUGUCCCAUGCACUCCCCACACAGGUGAUGUCUGAUUCCCCUCCCGCACACUGGGAUGGCACGAGAGCAAGAGCAUGGGAGAGCAGAGCAGAGGAGGGUCUCCCACAGCCCCUCCACCUGCUGCCAACUGAAGCAGCUUGAGACAAGCUUUGGGGUGACCUUGUUCUGCUGCUCAGCUCAGACCUCGAGGGCAGCACUGAAGGCCCCUGUCAUCGUGCUGGUCACUUGUCAAGCAGCAGAGUUCACCUUUGCAGGCCAGUUGUAAAUGCUCGGGUUCUGCUGCAGUUCCCUCCCCUGUGCCCCUCCCCUGGACACACAUUGAGGUGUGACUGUUCUACAACACUAAAUAUAAGUAUAGAGACAAGAAUCAAUGUCACCAGGAACGUCCUUGACCACCAUCAGGCUUUCCUUCCAUGGUCAGUACUAGUUGCAGGCAGUUUGGGAUUAGAGAGAAGGAUUUAUGAUUUGGUCUGAUCAUAACAAACUCAAAAUUCAGAAGAUGGGAAAAAAAAUAAUGAUUUCUCUGAAUAGUCACCUUGUACUAGAGACAUAAGAACUGAGUGACUGAGGUAGGUGAGCUGGGUGAUCCCUCUCCCAGAGCAUUCCUGCACUCAAGCAGCUGCAGCUGCUGGAGGUGUUGCUGGUGCUUUGCAUGUAGGGUUUAUGUGUAAAUAGGAUUGCCAGGCCUGUAUGCACAAUUUGGGAUCAGUUUCUUACUCCCAGUUAAGCAGCUGGAUUUUAUUCUGAAGAUGCUUUUUAUUCCUAUACAGAAUAAAUUCCACAGUAUCGUGAUGGUUUUUCACCCAUGUGUUUGGUAGAGAACCAUCACCUUGGCCCACCAUGGAAGAAAUGGACAGUUUUCUUCCCUCUCAUUGACCUGAAAUGACUCCCACACCUACACAUUUCACUGUUGGUCUCAUGGCUAUUGUUAGCCAAGGUUGGUUGCUUGUGUUUGUCCAAAAACUGGAAACCUUCAUCAGUCCAAGCUCUGCUUUUUGCUCUGCCUAUGAGCAUCUGUAAAGGUGCACAGCAGCUAAUGAAGGGAAGAAAGCCUGUUUUCAGAAUAUCAAAACUCUUCAAUAGGGGUUAGCACCUCUGUUUCAAGAUUUUCUAUCAGAGAAAGGCUGAGAUCUGCUGCUUUGGAAAAGUAAUUCCUUACUGACCCAGAGCAAGACAGUAAAUUCAACAAACAAAAUGGAAAGGAUGAAGCCUGCAACCUGACUGGUAUACACAAUUUGUUUUCCUCUACAAGGUUAAAUGCACAAAAUGUACAAAACCUGGAAACUGGUCCCUGUUUUGCUUCUAAACCCCUCCUUCAGGGGUCUUCAGCCCAUUGGAACCCACCUGAGAACCCACGAGCCUAGAGAUGUUUGAUGGCAGACCUUUGCUAGGACUGCCCAAGAACGAGGGGACAGUGGGGAGUUUCUAAACAGACAACUUACAUCAGGUAAACUCAUCAUCACAGAAUAAACUGGAAGGUUUUGAAUGAAACGAGCUUAUUUCCUACUGAUGUUAAUCCUUCAUGAAGUAUGGAUGUUAAUCCACAAAGAAAUUCUUAGAAAAUUAUCUGUUACAUCUCCAGGGCGGAAAGGUCUCGGUUGUGGCACUGAAUACUGAGAGCAUCCUAUUUGAUUUACCAGUGAUCACCAAGGUUUACAUCAAAGGUCAGGAAUAAGUCCGGAAUUUGUAAGCUGUGAAAAAGGUAUAAACACCUUAAUUUAUUGCCCUGUCACUGUUAAUUCAUUCGGUAUUCACUGUGAUAGCAUUGCUGUUAAUGAAUGUAUUUGGUAAUAAUGUGGAUGUCACAGAUAUUUAUGCUCUCAUCUCUCUCAGUGGCUCAGCAGGCAAGGCAAGUUAGGAGCUUUGCCAUUUUACGUUUUAUAAAUUAAAGAGGGAAAAUAAAUCAUGUUUCAUUUCAGAGAAGUACUUAACAAAUAUCUAUUACAUUUAGCCACCCCAAAUGAGGGCCCAUCCUAUUACAGAAGAAUUAGUACUGGACACAAAAUGAUGGGUGUCUGGAAUGGAUGGAAGCCAAAGGGGAAGCUUCCUAUGUAUUUCAGAGGCAACAGGUCAGACUCUGUUCAAAGUAUGUAGAUUAGCUGAUGUUUGUUAAAUAUAGCUAAUAAAUAAAUUUUAGAACCCAUAUCUUUAUGUCUUAUGUGACUCUUUAGAGUCACAAGUGGGAAAAAAAUACUCUUGGAUAUCUGUUUCAAAUCCUGAAUCAACAAAAAAAGGAAUCAACAGAGGAGCUCUAACCUUUGCACAGUGGAGAAAUGUGUGCCUGUAUGGAGCUUGUAAAAAUCUCCUAAUUGUAAGUUAACCUUGAUUUUUGAACAGUCAGGUGGCACACAAACAUUUAGCUGACUCUGCACUAACCUGAUUUUCCACAAAUUUUAAAAUUACACACAAAUACUUUGUAAUCCUUUCAUACAUAUUUUUAUCCUGCACUCUUCAGGAUGGUCCCUCAGGUGCAAUGGUGCCUCAAAACAGGGAGUUUUUCCAGUUAAGGUCAGCAGAAGCCUGGCCAUUGCUUUCAAAGGCUCCAGGAUUCAGAUUAUAACCAAUUCAUUAAUUUUGUAAUCUAGUCAUAAGCAAGUCCAUAAUAUAAAUACGGAUAAGCAGCAAAUACCUUCCUCAUUCUGAAAUACUGACUGGGAGCAGGAGGCUCUGCACUCCUGGGCUCAUGAGAUCAUUAUCAAGCAGCUGCUGACACAUGUGCAUGGAAUCCCAUGCAUGGAAUGCCUGGAAAAUGCUUAUGCACCUGGGCAAUUGCUACUGCUCUAUUAUUAUGCAAUAAUGCAUUAUUACUUGUAUUUGAAGAGCAAAUGCUGGUCAGACAGUUCUAUUGAUAUGAAUUUUCACAUCUUUUGAUGGUGAAAGUCCUGCUUCAUUAAUGCUCCAAGUCCCGCUCAACAGAACUGAGGCAGGAGGAGGAAAAUAAAUGACUACAAAUACAGUUUAGAAACCUCUGCUCUGACCCAAACCACCUUGCCCAUAAAUCACGAUCUUGCAGUUUCAAACCCUGGUUUGGGACUGUACACGUGGGCUAUACAAGCACAAGUCCCUGCCAUUCCCAAGGCUCCCUGUCCCCAGUCUGCAGGGGGAACAGGAGGAUGGACAGUCCUCCUCUCCACAACCCUCCCAGGCCUCUUUUCCACAGCUGCCCAUUAUUGCUGUAAUCGCUUCAUUACAGCCUCUGUGAAUUGAUUAGGUUUGGAAAGUGCUGCAGUGGGAAUAGGGGACUCUGGCAGGACGUGUGCCAGCCCGAGAGCUGGUGCUGCUGGGGAUGUGCUGCCCAUUUGCACAUCCCAUGUGGGACUGGGUUUAAAAAAAACCCAACAUUUUUAAGGGGAGAGGGAGGGACAGAAAACCCAACCUGUGGUUUUUUUCAGAGCCUUUCAGUGUUUUCUUCUGAAAAGAUCACUCCUUCACAGUGCAGUAAUAUGUUCCACAGUUUAAUUUAAUGCCUUGGUUAGGAAAACUUAAAUGUUUCCUUGAAGCCUUUUACAAUUUGUUGCCUUUUAAUUAAGAUGGAAAAGUACCUAAACGUCUGAGUGGUGUCUAUAUUAUGAAAUAAUUUGUAUUUUAUAUUUUCCCCAUAGAAGUUUGCAACUUGGUGUCAUACAGGAUCUAAUACCUUCCUUUUGUGAUGCUCUGAAUGCCUCUGGAGCCGUCAGCAAGUGUUGGAUAUACAAAUGGAAAUGGCAAUCUUCACAGAAUACUGAUUUGGGAGCUUAUGAAACGUCAGGCUUGUAUUCAGUGCAGACGUGAGUCUCUGUGAAGGAGUCUUCUGGCUUCCUUUGUUACUACAUGAAGAAUUCAUUUUGGCAUCUCCCUUUAGGGCUGGUUUCUUUUAAGCCAUGAUUGCAUUAAUAAUAUCAGUUCAUGGUGUAACUGAUUGAAUCCCUUUCACGUUGGGGAAGAAUUAAAGACCAAUCUAAUUCGCUACUGACCCAUAAUCAGCAAAGCCAUGAAGUAAAGGGCAUUAUUUUCUCACAACUUUUCUGUACAGCUAUAUUAAUUUUUAUGUUUCAUACUCCUGAGGUAAUUAAAUGCCCUUAAAUGAGGAAAUGCUUUAUGUAAAUGUCAUUUUAACACCAAAGAUUGUGCCUGUUCCCAGGGUACAGUGUUAUCUAACUAAAAAGCUGGUUUCAUUUCUUAAAAGCAAACACAUUUUGAGGUCAAAAUUUUCAUUUUAUAGUUAUUACUUUGCUCAGAUGCAAACACUGGUUUUCUAACUGAAGAAUAAAAGGACACCUUGAUUUUUUUACAAGUGUAUACACUGCAUUUUUUUGCAUGGUUCAGCUUGCUUGUUCCUUAGAUCUCUUUGCUUUAGGAUUAGCAAGAUAACAAACAUGUUCAGGUUCUAAGAGAUUUUUUUGGUGAUGUUCUUUGAACUGCUGCAAAAGGCAAGCUUAGCCCCAGCUUUAUAACUAAGGCCUGCUUACCACAGCUAAGCUAAACACAAACACAUGUGGUAUAUUAUCUGAGAAGAGGAUCAUUGCUCCCCUGUGAAGUUCUCCAGGAAGAUGACUGUUGUCCACAGCCAGUUUUUCAUGGGAAUUGGGUGCACAUUCAUGUUCAUUUUGUCCUUGGUUUAUCAACUUACCUACUGGAUGUCACACAAAGCUCACAGAGGGCAGCAGCACAGUUUGGAUGUCAGACCCAUUUCUUCAGCUCUGCAGUCCCCCAUCCUGCUGAGGCAGGUAAGUGUCUCCCUGGCUAACCCCCUUUUAAAGGUCCCUGAUUCUUAAAUAUUCAUUUAAACCUGAUACAGAAUACUCUUUCCAUUUCUUCAGUUUGAAGACUUACUUUUUCCCUUUUUUAAUGAUCCGUGUGCCUAGUCUUUUCUGAAGCUUUUCAAAUUUCAGGACUCAGUGACUCCCUACAGGUCAGGGGAGGUUUAGAUUGGAUAUUAGGUAAAGGUUUUUCACCCAGAGGAUCUUUGAGCACAGAAACAGGUUACCCAGGGCAGUGGUCACAGCACCAAGCCUGACAGAGUUCAAGAAGCAUUUGGACAACGCUUUCAGGCCCAUGUUGGGAUUCUUGGGGGUGUCCAGAGCAGGGCCAGGAGCUGGACUCGAUGACCCUUGUGGGUCCCUUCCAAGUCAGGAUAUUCUACGAUUCUAUAAUGAGUCCUUCAGCCUAACUGUGCAACAAGGCAAAUAUUCUUUUAGUCACUUUUGGCUUUUUUGUUCAUUUUAAUCAUAUCUAAUGUUGUGUAAUGAGUCCCCAGAAACACAAGGCUAUGGUCAUAAUACUGAGAUGGAAGAUACUUCUGCAACUGGCAUCUUCAGCAGAUGCUGAUCUUUGCUGAGCUGCCUUUGAGGACUUGCCAACAUCAAGAAGGGAGAGGAAGAAAAAGGGCUGGACCAUAUUUAGAAGCAAGAAGCCCCUUGGAGAAGAGCCCUGAGGUGGUCCUGAGGGUCACAGACUCACAGGGCACCACUUGCCCUGCUCACUGAGGAGCCAGCUCCUCUCCCAGGUAAACCCUAGAAGUGAGCAGAGGGUGAGGGCUCUGACAGCCACCCAUACCUGAGCCCAUACAGUUCCCACAAGACUGUUCAGAAACAAGAAAAGUCACCUAUGAAUGUUAAGCUUAAAAAAGCAGCAGCACUGAUGAGUAUUUUUGGCAUGAACUGAAGAAUCCUUUUGUUCCAGCUACAGCCCACAUGCUGAUUCAGCUCAGCAGUUCUCCUCUUCUGUUCUUUUCCUUUCCCAGGGCUUUCUUAAACGCCACUUCUGGGUUGCUGUUUUCUUCCAGCCUGCUUCAGUUAUGUUUGGGAAUGAUGGCUCAUAAAAAUAUUGGCACGUACUCUCAACUGGUGGCAAUAGUCUGUAGGAGCAUGCUAUCAGUCAGGAUAUGACUCUGUUCUUUUUUCAUGGUUUUGCUAUAUUUAUUUGAUCUCAUCUACAAUAAAGCCUUUUGAUACUGCUGAAGUGAUAGAAAGGCAUCAUAUGGUAAAUGGUAAUCAGGCUUUUCAGCAUGAAAUGGUUUGAAUAAAUUUGCUUUGUGGAGUCUUCCCAGAGCUAAAUUCUGCUGUAAUUUACCACCGAGGCACUGCCCAGACUGCUCAGCAUUAGCAGGUGAGAUCUUCCUGGGGCAGAGCAGGUGGUGUCACCCCUACACACUGCACCCAGGGUGACUUGCUGGCCUGGACUCCAGACUAAAGGCAGUUUUAAGUAGAAAGGAUCCUGUCUAUUUCUUUCCUGCUCAACACUCAUUAUUUACAAAACAACAACUGAAACUAUAAAUUUUUCAUACUGAAUAUACCAAUAUUGCAUAUAAAGCAAGAAUCACAACUUCCACGCGUUAAAGUGUCUAAUAUCUUGAGUGGCUAUUUAUGCCUAAAUAAUCAGAGAAAAAACCCAAAUAGAUUUUUGAAAAGAAUGUAAGGGAAAGGAUAAAGACAAUAGUCUGAACAUGCUGUAGAAAAAGGAGGAUAAAUACUUAAGAAGAACCAGAUCUUACCAGAAUUUAAACAUCCUCCCAAAUACAAAAUUUCCCUGCGACAACCUUGCUUUCAUUCUGAGGAGUAAUUUAUUUGAAUAGGCAUCUAUGAAGAAGCUGCAUCUGCACUGGCUGAGCUCUGUAUAGGAACUAAAGGUGGAAAAGCAUCUAAUUAAGAAGUCACUGAAGUGAUGAGGUGAGCUGUUUCCUAGGGAAGGUCACUCACUGUCCAGCAGAGCUGAUGUUUCCCAUAGAGGUGUCCUCAGCCACUGUGUUCAACAGCACUCAGGCUGGUUCAUUUAUUUAUAUAUUCAUACCAUCAGAAAGGAAUCUUUUACUGCUCGUUUACCUCACCUGGCCUGGAGACACAAGAGAGAUGUUUCCUUGCUGCCAGGUGGCACCAAAGAAGCUCCAGGGACAUUUGCUGCAUUUCAAGCCCCAAGUGAUAACGAUGUGAUGUGUUUAUUUGAUUUCAUCAUGCAAAACUAAAAUCAUCUUAUACAAAACUUCAGGCAGAGCAGUUUUUACUUUUUAUUUUUCCCCUUUCUUUGGCUCUAAACCUGCCAGAUUAUUUCUAAGUUACCCAAAAUGGAACUUUUCUUCCUUUGUCUUCAGGUGUAUUAAGUUCUUUUAUGAGUAUACAAAAAGUGUUGAAUGCCACCAUAAACACACCUAUGAAGGAUUUAUUUCUUCUGUUCUUAUUUCUCAUAUGGAAUAUUUUAUAUGUUGAAUAAUGAGCUCAGUUCUGUGUCUGGCAAGGCUUGUGUCCAUAUGCUCUCAGCCCAAACCAUAAUGACAGAGCAUUUCCACCACAUCCUCCUCUCACCCUUCCACUCAAGAAUCUCUUCUGAUGGUAAUUCAAACUGACUUUUCAUUGCCAGUGGCUGUGGAACCACACUGUGCCUCUUCUGUAAGGACCUAAGUGCUGGGUAAUAUCGUGAUCAUCUGCACCAAAACCUUAGAGGAUGCUGGCAGAAAGUUGGGCUUUUUUUUAAAAAAAAAAAAAAAGGAAAAUAAAUGCUAAGACCUCAAAUGAAAAGUAAGUUAGUUUGAAAGCUUGACUGGGAAGGUUGACUGCAGGGCGGUGACAAGUGGUUUUGGAGGUGCUGGAGAUCUCCCACUGGCCAAGUCAUGACCUCAGCUGCAGCUGCCUGGAAACCUUGGGCACCUUAAAGUAAAAAUUGCCAGUGAAUUUUCACUAGGAAUUCCCACCAAUACCCACUGAACCCCUCUGGCCCAACCUUCACUGGCUGGGCUGAAGGGCUGGUGUCCAUAGGCUUCCUACAGAGCCAGAGGGGAGAGGUGGGGAACCAAAAAUACUGGUCCUGAUCUUGGGAAUGCAGCUUCUGAGGAGCUUGUCUUUUCCAACCAGCAGACCCUGAAGGACACUUCCCCACAACCCAGAUGAAUGCAUAUAAAGUCAAAGCUGAGCAUAUGCUUUGUGUUAAUGCUCAGUUGUUGGGUAUUUUAUCAUUCUUUAUCAUGGAGAAAGUUGGGUUUUUUUCUUCUGAAAAGUGCUGUAAGGAACUUGAAAUGCAGAUUUCAACCAGCUGUAUUUCUUAUCUGGUGUCCUUUCACAACACUACUGUGCUGUUGUCAGAAAUGUAUGAUGACACUUCGAGGAAAACUGAUUGCCAGAGUCUGUUGAUUCUGUGUAACUAUAUUAAAAUACUGGAAAUUA